UGGCGGCAGGCUUAACACAUGCAAGUCGAACGAUGAUUAUCUAGCUUGCUAGAUAUGAUUAGUGGCGGACGGGUGAGUAACAUUUAGGAAUCUGCCUAGUAGUGGGGGAUAGCUCGGGGAAACUCGAAUUAAUACCGCAUACGACCUACGGGUGAAAGGGGGCGCAAGCUCUUGCUAUUAGAUGAGCCUAAAUCAGAUUAGCUAGUUGGUGGGGUAAAGGCCCACCAAGGCGACGAUCUGUAACUGGUCUGAGAGGAUGAUCAGUCACACCGGAACUGAGACACGGUCCGGACUCCUACGGGAGGCAGCAGUGGGGAAUAUUGGACAAUGGGGGCAACCCUGAUCCAGCCAUGCCGCGUGUGUGAAGAAGGCCUUUUGGUUGUAAAGCACUUUAAGCAGGGAGGAGAGGCUAAUGGUUAAUACCCAUUAGAUUAGACGUUACCUGCAGAAUAAGCACCGGCUAACUCUGUGCCAGCAGCCGCGGUAACACAGAGGGUGCGAGCGUUAAUCGGAAUUACUGGGCGUAAAGCGAGUGUAGGUGGCUCAUUAAGUCACAUGUGAAAUCCCCGGGCUUAACCUGGGAACUGCAUGUGAUACUGGUGGUGCUAGAAUAUGUGAGAGGGAAGUAGAAUUCCAGGUGUAGCGGUGAAAUGCGUAGAGAUCUGGAGGAAUACCGAUGGCGAAGGCAGCUUCCUGGCAUAAUAUUGACACUGAGAUUCGAAAGCGUGGGUAGCAAACAGGAUUAGAUACCCUGGUAGUCCACGCCGUAAACGAUGUCUACUAGCCGUUGGGGUCCUUGAGACUUUAGUGGCGCAGUUAACGCGAUAAGUAGACCGCCUGGGGAGUACGGCCGCAAGGUUAAAACUCAAAUGAAUUGACGGGGGCCCGCACAAGCGGUGGAGCAUGUGGUUUAAUUCGAUGCAACGCGAAGAACCUUACCUGGUCUUGACAUAGUGAGAAUCCUGCAGAGAUGCGGGAGUGCCUUCGGGAAUUCACAUACAGGUGCUGCAUGGCUGUCGUCAGCUCGUGUCGUGAGAUGUUGGGUUAAGUCCCGCAACGAGCGCAACCCUUUUCCUUAUUUGCCAGCGGGUUAAGCCGGGAACUUUAAGGAUACUGCCAGUGACAAACUGGAGGAAGGCGGGGACGACGUCAAGUCAUCAUGGCCCUUACGACCAGGGCUACACACGUGCUACAAUGGUAGGUACAGAGGGUUGCUACACAGCGAUGUGAUGCUAAUCUCAAAAAGCCUAUCGUAGUCCGGAUUGGAGUCUGCAACUCGACUCCAUGAAGUCGGAAUCGCUAGUAAUCGCAGAUCAGAAUGCUGCGGUGAAUACGUUCCCGGGCCUUGUACACACCGCCCGUCACACCAUGGGAGUCUAUUGCACCAGAAGUAGGUAGCCUAACGUAAGAGGGCGCUUACCACGGUGUGGUCGAUGA
rnacentral:rRNA from 1 species